UGAAUAUGUUGAGCAAAAGAUUCAAUAGUUUGUGAAACACGAAUAUGAGGUGGAAGAGGAACAAGGUCAAUUGGGGGGUACGAGGGAAUACCAAUUAACAAUCUCAAAAGGGCUUUUACCUGUAGAAUGGUUUACAAAAUUGUUAUAGGUGAACUCUGCAAUAGGAAGAAUCUAUCCCAAUUGCCUUACUUUUCUCCUACAAGACACCUAUUCAAAACAUCCAAAGUAUGAUUUACAACUUCAGUUUGACCAUUUGUUUGAGGGUGAAAAUCUAAAGAAAAUUUAAAUUUAGUGCCAAACAACCUCAAAAAAUGUCUUCCAAAAGUAAUUAACAAACUUGGCAUACCUAUCAGACUAUAGAAGAAAGUAAACUAUGCAAUUUGACAACUUCUCUAAAGAACAAUGCAUGUGAAGCAUCAUGUGUUUUAUUACAUGGAAUGAAAUGUGCCCUCUCAAUGAUGCUACUUGAUUUAUGCUCAGAGCGCUUAACUGAAUUUGUGUGAUGAAAUUACUCUUUUUUUUCCCUCUCCAGUUCCAAGCAUUGCGUUCGAUG
rnacentral:misc_RNA from 1 species